UACGUAGGUGGCAAGCGUUGUCCGGAUUUACUGGGUGUAAAGGGCGUGCAGCCGGGCUGACAAGUCAGAUGUGAAAUCCCGCGGCUCAACCGCGGAGCUGCAUUUGAAACUGUCAGUCUUGAGUACCGGAGAGGUCAUCGGAAUUCCUUGUGUAGCGGUGAAAUGCGUAGAUAUAAGGAAGAACACCAGUGGCGAAGGCGGAUGACUGGACGGCAACUGACGGUGAGGCGCGAAAGCGUGGGGAGCAAACAGG
rnacentral:rRNA from 1 species